CCGGCACAUCCUAAAUUCUUGUAGACUUUCUGCCUUCCUCUCUCUGGCUCGGUUCCUCUGAGAAUUCACCAAGAAGAACUUGUUGGGCAGCUUCCCUUUCCACACAGACCAAAGGAGCCCACACCUCCGCAGGGACUCCAGACUUCACUGCAAAGAAAUCCAACCACAAGAAGACAGGAGGAGCGUUGGCUGGCCAGUGCCUGCUGAUGUGGGAAGGAAAAGCUUUGUGUGGCUGAUGGAUUGGGCUCCACAAGGACCUGAAGCUGGGGAUCCUAAGUACCCUCAAGAUUAUGAGAAUGUGGAUUCUGCACCUUGUACUCCAAAUGGAUCAGCUUUGGAAGUGAGCCUUGGUGGGGAGGCUGUAACAGAGCAGUGACAGAAAAGAGAAAACAGCCUAGAAUCAGGACAUGUAAUUGACAGUUGGAAGAUCUGAGGACUCACGUUCAGCAAAUGAAGGCAAAUGGCAGGGAUAACAGUGGAGGAGAUUCUCAUUUUACAUCAAAGCCCACGGGUUCGGGCAUCCUCCUGCAGCCCUUCCUGACUGCCCUCAAAACCAGUGCCAUCGCACUGCCUACAGCUGCUGUACCUCUGCAGUGACACAGACACCCAGCCCCUCCCAUCCCCUCUGCUGAGACACGUACCCCUCCACCCAGAGGCCUCCCCAGGAUCCGGCAACUGCAGGGGUGCGGCUUGUCUCCACCAGAACUCCGGCUGAAAUUUGAUCCCCAGUCUCACAGCGCUGGAGAGGAGAUGGGUCGCCCUCUGGCCAGGGCUUGGCCGGGCCUGGAUCCUGCGCGUCAGCUGUGUGAGCAGAGUCUUUCUCCAGGGUUUGCUCCAGUCACAACAGAGCAACCUCGAAGUGGAAGCUGGUGUUGCUUGCUGUUCUGUGGUACAAAGACCUUCCAACAACAGAAGGAAAAGCAGCUUACAUGUAGAGGGAAACAGAGUUUCAGUGUCUGAGCCACGGCUGCAGCCCACGUCGUGAUGCUUCUGUGUGGACCCCACUCACCUCCUCCAUCACGACUGCAGCUUCUGUGACAGCAUCUGGCCGGCGUCUCGGGGACCGCAAAUUUGAGAUUUUGAGAAGGUUGGGGAGUAAGCUCCCUGCCGUUCCACCAAACUUUGGCUGCUAUGCAUCCAAAUGCAUAGACUAACCAAAGCCAGAAGGAAGACUGACAUCACAGCAGUGUACCGCUGCUCAGGCUGACCACCCCUUCGGGGGGAAUGUGAAUUAAGUGGGAAAAGAUCAUUAAAGCUUGAUA